CCUACGGGGUGCAGCAGUGGGGUAUAUUGCACAAUGGGGGGAACCCUGAUGCAGCGACGCCGCGUGGGGGAAGAAGCGCCUCGGUGCGUACAGCCCUGUCAGCAGGGAAGAAAAUGACGGUACCUGAAGAAGAAGCCCCGGCUAACUACGUGCCAGCAGCCGCGGUAAUACGUAGGGGGCAAGCGUUCUCCGGAUGUACUGGGGGUAAAGGGGGCGCAGACGGCGAUGCAGGACAGGAUUGAAAGCCCGGGGCCCAACCCCGGGACUGCCUUUGGAACUGCGUGGCUGGAGUGCAGGAGGGGCAGGCGGAAUUCCUGGUGUAGCGGUGAAAUGCGUAGAUAUCAGGAGGAACACCGGUGGCGAAGGCGGCCUGCUGGACUGCAACUGACGUUGAGGCCCGAAAGCGUGGGGAGCAAACAGGAUUAGAUACCCGGGUAGUC
rnacentral:rRNA from 1 species